rnacentral:rRNA from 1 species
GACGUAGGGCGCGAGCGUUGUCCGGAUUUAUUGGGCGUAAAGAGCUCGUAGGCGGCUUGUCGCGUCGUCCGUGAAAACCUGGGGCUCAACCCCAGGCUUGCGGUCGAUACGGGCAGGCUCGAGUUCGGUAGGGGAGACUGGAAUUCCUGGUGUAGCGGUGAAAUGCGCAGAUAUCAGGAGGAACACCGGUGGCGAAGGCGGGUCUCUGGGCCGAAACUGACGCUGAGGAGCGAAAGCGUGGGGAGCAAACAGG